rnacentral:tRNA from 1 species
GGGCCUGUAGCUCAAGGGAGCAGGCGAUUCUUUCUCGUCAGGUGGCACGUUCGAAUCGGCCCGGGCCCACCA